CCCCCACAUCCAGAGGGGCCUGACCCUUGGGGGCGGGGCCACAUCCCGGGCAGGGGUCAAGGCCUGGGGGCGGGGCCUGCAUUGCAGCAGAUCCAGCUUUUGUAGGCAGCGACUGCCUCUCAGGAUCCUAGGUCUCAAAGCCAGAGCUCGGUAUUCUGCUCACAAAAGAGAUUGUGACAGGGCUUUCUGGCAGUCUGAGAGACUUUUCCACCUCCCCUCCUGCGGCGCUCCACCAAGUAUCGCUUCACCUCAGUCUGUUGGGGCCUUGGUUCAGGCUGCGGCCUACCAAGGCUUUGAAGGGCCCCAGAGGCCCUGAGCACGGGACCCGCGCUCUCUGCCUGAACUUCAACAUCUUCGUCGCCAUCACUGUAAUGCUGACUGCAGUCUAGUGAGCGCUAGGUUUAAAGACCAAAUAACCUUGAAGUUUAGCAGCUUGAAACAACACACAUUUGAAAGUAUGUCAUACUUUCUGAAGGUUAGAGAUCCAGGAAUAGCCUAUGUACAUCCUUUGCUUUAGGAUCUCUCAGAAGGCUGCAGUCAGGGUGCUCACUGAACUGUCUGGUGAGUAUAGCAGGUUAUCUGAUGGAGAAAUCAUACAGAACUCUCAUAGUUCCACAGUAUUGACUGUGUUCUGGAUGCUGGUCACUUUCAAUC
rnacentral:lncRNA from 1 species